UUCUACUGCCAUGCAACCACCCUGAACAAGCCCGAUCUCAUCUGAUCUCAGAAGCUAAGCAGGGUUGGGCCUGGUUAGUACUUGGAUGAGAGACCACCUAGGAAGACCAAGUGCUGUAGGCA
rnacentral:rRNA from 1 species